GUAGGGAAUAUUGGGCAAUGGUCGGAAGACUGACCCAGCCAUGCCGCGUGCAGGAAGACGGCCCUCUGGGUUGUAAACUGCUUUUAUCUGGGAAGAAAAAGGCCAUGCGUGGCAAAUUGCCGGUACCAGAUGAAUAAGCACCGGCUAACUCCGUGCCAGCAGCCGCGGUAAUACGGAGGGUGCGAGCGUUGUCCGGAUUUAUUGGGUUUAAAGGGUGCGUAGGCGGCUGAUUAAGUCAGCGGUGAAAGACUUCGGCUUAACCGGGGCAGUGCCGUUGAUACUGGUUGGCUUGAGUGUCGGAGGGGUACAUGGAAUUGAUGGUGUAGCGGUGAAAUGCAUAGAUACCAUCAGGAACACCGAUAGCGAAGGCAUUGUACUGGCCGACAACUGACGCUGAUGCACGAAAGUGUGGGGAUCGAACAGGAUUAGAAACCCCUGUAGUCC
rnacentral:rRNA from 1 species